rnacentral:rRNA from 1 species
GAUGAGCGCUGGCGGCGUGCCUAAUACAUGCAAGUCGAACGCACAGCGAAAGGUGCUUGCACCUUUCAAGUGAGCGGCGAACGGGUGAGUAACACGUGGACAACCUGCCUCAAGGCUGGGGAUAACAUUUGGAAACAGAUGCUAAUACCGAAUAAAACUCAGUGUCGCAUGACACAAAGUUAAAAGGCGCUUUGGCGUCACCUAGAGAUGGAUCCGCGGUGCAUUAGUUAGUUGGUGGGGUAAAGGCCUACCAAGACAAUGAUGCAUAGCCGAGUUGAGAGACUGGUCGGCCACAUUGGGACUGAGACACGGCCCAAACUCCCACGGGAGGCUGCAGUAGGGAAUCUUCCACAAUGGGCGAAAGCCUGAUGGAGCAACGCCGCGUGUGUGAUGAAGGCUUUCGGGUCGUAAAGCACUGUUGUAUGGGAAGAACAGCUAGAAUAGGGAAUGAUUUUAGUUUGACGGUACCAUACCAGAAAGGGACGGCUAAAUACGUGCCAGCAGCCGCGGUAA